rnacentral:lncRNA from 1 species
GGCAUCGCUCGGCGGGCGGGGGGGGGGUACGGAGGGAGGGACCGGGGACCGGUACCCGGUGCAGAAUGACCGGUGCUCCGUAUCCGGUAGAGGUUGCCCGGUGCCCCGGGUUCGGUGCAGGUUGCCCGGUAUUCGGUCCAGGUUGCCCCCGGUGCCCAGUACCGGUUGCCCCGGUGCCCUGUGCCGGUUGCCCCGGUGCCCGGUACUCGGUGCGGGUUGCCCCGCUGCCCAGUGCCGGUUGCCCCGGUGCCCUGAGCCGGUUGCCCUGCAUCCGGUGCAGGUUGCCCGGUCCCCAGUGCCCCAUGCCCUGUAUCCUGUGCAGGUUGCCCCGGUGCCCAGUGCCAGUUGCCCCGGUGGCCGGUGCCAGUUGCCCCAGUGCCCUGUGACAAUUGCCCCGGUCCCCCGUGGCCAGUGCAGGUUGCCCGCUGCCCAGUGCCGGUUGCCCCGGUGCCCUGUGCAGGUUGCCCCGUAUCCGGUCCCCUGUGCCCAGUCCCCUGUGCCCGCUGCCCAGUGCCGGUUGCCCCGGUGCCCUGUGCAGGUUGCCCCGUAUCCGGUCCCCUGUGCCCAGUCCCCUGUGCCCGCUGCCCAGUGCCGGUUGCCCCGGUGCCCUGUGCAGGUUGCCCCGUAUCCGGUCCCCUGUGCCCAGUCCCCUGUGCCCGCUGCCCAGUGCCGGUUGCCCCGGUGCCCUGUGCAGGUUGCCCCGUAUCCGGUCCCCUGUGCCCAGUCCCCUGUGCCCGCUGCCCAGUGCCGGUUGCCCCGGUGCCCUGUGCAGGUUGCCCCGUAUCCGGUCCCCUGUGCCCAGUCCCCUGUGCCCGCUGCCCAGUGCCGGUUGCCCCGGUGCCCUGUGCAGGUUGCCCCGUAUCCGGUCCCCUGUGCCCAGUCCCCUGUGCCCGCUGCCCAGUGCCGGUUGCCCCGGUGCCCUGUGCAGGUUGCCCCGUAUCCGGUCCCCUGUGCCCAGUCCCCUGUGCCCGCUGCCCAGUGCCGGUUGCCCCGGUAGCCGGUGCCGGUUGCCCCGGUGCCCAGUGCCGGUUGCCCCGGUGCCCAGUGCCGGUUGCCCCGGUGGCCGGUGCCGGUUGCCCCGGUGGCCGGUCCCCUGUGCCAGGUCCCCUGUGCCCGCUGCCCAGUGCCGGUUGCCCCGGUCCCCUGUGCCAGUUGCCCUGUGCCCAGUGCCGGUUGCCCCGGUGCCCUGUGCCCAGUGCCGGUUGCCCUGGUAGCCGGUGCAGGUUGCCCAGCUGCCCAGUGCGGGUUGCCCAGUGCCCUGUGCCGGUUGCCCCGGUGCCCAGUGCAUGUUGCCCCGCUGCCCUGUGCUCGGUGCCGGUUGCCCCGGUGCCUUGUACCCGUUGCCCGGUGCCUUGUACCGGUUGCCCUUGCCCCCUGUACCCCAUAUACCGGGUGCACGUUCCCCGUUUCCCCCCCCCUGUUGCUCCCCGUUGCCCGGUUCGGGCGGGCUCGCGAGCGACCGAAGCGGCCCCGCUUCCUGCUUUCUAAUGUUCCAUUGUGCGGAGCUUCCAUUGUGACGUCUGGGCCUCGGCUCGGCUUUGUCUGUCCAUAUAUGGGCAGCUACGUCACGGGAGCGCUCCCGCCGCCCGGAUAAAUGGGCUGCGGAGUCCCCGGCGGAGCAGUCGGGCGGCAGCGAAGGGAACCUGCGAGCGGAGCCGAGAGCGCGGGGAGGGAAAC